GAUGAACGCUGGCGGCGUGCUUAACACAUGAAGUCGAGCGAGAGAGUUCCUUCGGGAACAAUCUAGCGGCGGACGGGUGAGUAACACGUGGGCAACCUGCCUCAUAGAGGGGAAUAGCCUCCCGAAAGGGAGAUUAAUACCGCAUAAUAUCAUUGGGUGGCAUCAUUUAAUGAUUAAAGGAGUAAUCCGCUAUGAGAUGGGCCCGCGGCGCAUUAGCUAGUUGGUGAGGUAACGGCUCACCAAGGCGACGAUGCGUAGCCGGCCUGAGAGGGUGAUCGGCCACAUUGGGACUGAGACACGGCCCAGACUCCUACGGGAGGCAGCAGUGGGGAAUAUUGCACAAUGGGGGAAACCCUGAUGCAGCAACGCCGCGUGAGUGAUGAAGGUCUUCGGAUUGUAAAGCUCUGUCUUCAGGGACGAUAAUGACGGUACCUGAGGAGGAAGCCACGGCUAACUACGUGCCAGCAGCCGCGGUAAUACGUAGGUGGCAAGCGUUAUCCGGAUUUACUGGGCGUAAAGGGAGCGUAGGCGGAUAAUUAAGUGGGAUGUGAAAUACCCGGGCUCAACUUGGGUGCUGCAUUCCAAACUGGUUAUCUAGAGUGCAGGAGAGGAGAGUGGAAUUCCUAGUGUAGCGGUGAAAUGCGUAGAGAUUAGGAAGAACACCAGUGGCGAAGGCGACUCUCUGGACUGUAACUGACGCUGGCUCGAAAGCGUGGGGAGCAAACAGG
rnacentral:rRNA from 1 species